CACGUAGGGCGCAAGCGUUGUCCGGAAUUAUUGGGCGUAAAGAGCUCGUAGGCGGUCUGUUGCGUCCGCUGUGAAAACUCGGGGCUUAACCCCGAGCCUGCAGUGGAUACGGGCAGACUAGAGGUAGGUAGGGGAGAAUGGAAUUCCCCGGUGUAGCGGUGAAAUGCGCAGAUAUCGGGAGGAACACCGGUGGCGAAGGCGGUUCUCUGGGCCUUACCUGACGCUGAGGAGCGAAAGCGUGGGGAGCGAACAGG
rnacentral:rRNA from 1 species